rnacentral:rRNA from 1 species
GUGGGGAAUAUUCCGCAAUGGACGAAAGUCUGACGGAGCAACGCCGCGUGAGUGAUGAAGGUUUUCGGACUGUAAAGCUCUGUUGUUUAGGACGAAAGUGCCUGUUACAAACAGUUACAGGUAUUGACGGUACUAAACGAGGAAGCCACGGCUAACUAAGUGCCAGCAGCCGCGGUAAUACGUAGGUGGCAAGCGUUGUCCGGAAUUAUUGGGCGUAAAGAGCAUGUAGGCGGGAAUCUAAGUCUGUUGUGAAAAUGCGGGGCUCAACCCCGUAUUGCGAUGGAAACUGGGUUUCUUGAGUGCAGGAGAGGAAAGGGGAAUUCCCAGUGUAGCGGUGAAAUGCGUAGAUAUUGGGAGGAACACCAGUGGCGAAGGCGCCUUUCUGGACUGUGUCUGACGCUGAGAUGCGAAAGCCAGGGUAGCGAACGGGAUUAGAUACCCGAGUAGUCC